rnacentral:rRNA from 1 species
AUUGAACGCUGGCGGCAUGCUUUACACAUGCAAGUCGAACGGUAGAGGGGGCAACCCCUUGAGAGUGGCGAACGGGUGAGUAAUGCAUCGGAACGUGCCCAGUCGUGGGGGAUAACGCAGCGAAAGCUGUGCUAAUACCGCAUACGAUCUCUGGAUGAAAGCGGGGGACCGAAAGGCCUCGCGCGAUUGGAGCGGCCGAUGGCAGAUUAGGUAGUUGGUGGGGUAAAGGCCUACCAAGCCAACGAUCUGUAGCUGGUCUGAGAGGACGACCACCCACACUGGGACUGAGACACGGCCCAGACUCCUACGGGAGGCAGCAGGGGGGAAUUUUGGACAAUGGGCGCAAGCCUGAUCCAGCAAUGCCGCGUGCAGGAAGAAGGCCUUCGGGUUGUAAACUGCUUUUGUACGGAACGAAACGGUCUGGGUUAAUACCCUGGGCUAAUGACGGUACCGUAAGAAUAAGCACCGGCUAACUACGUGCCAGCCGCCGCCGUAA